rnacentral:rRNA from 1 species
UACAGAGGAUGCAAGCGUUAUCCGGAAUGAUUGGGCGUAAAGCGUCCGCAGGUGGUUUAAUAAGUCUGCUGUUAAAGCGUGUGGCUCAACCACAUACAGGCAGUGGAAACUAUUCGACUAGAGUAUGUUAGGGGUAGAGGGAAUUCCCAGUGUAGCGGUGAAAUGCGUAGAGAUUGGGAAGAACACCGGUGGCGAAAGCGCUCUGCUAGGACAAUACUGACACUGAGGGACGAAAGCUAGGGGAGCGAAUGGG